UUGCCAACCCCAUUAUCGUUUAUUUUAAAAUUCACAACAGUUACUAGUAUAGGCUUUGCUUUUUACCCCGAAAUAUCCUAAAUCCUGGUAUUUUUUAAAUUGUCUUUAUCAUCCAAAAUAUCAGCUAUUUUUCCCUAAAAAAGGGAGAAUUCCCUAAAAGUGGAAGCACUGCUUCAAAGUACGCUACAUUUUUUGGGUGAAUGAAGUUAGCCCCUCAAAAAAAAUUUUUUUUCCUGUUUUCUACUUAUUUUCUAUUAAUUCGUUUGUUUAUCAUUUGUUCUUGAUUGUUCACUGUUAAUAACUGUUUGUUCCCCAUUUAUUUAUUUUAAAAAAAAUAUUAAAAAUAUAUCUAAAAGUUAGCCCCUCGAUUGCAAUUUUUAAUAUUUUUUCGUCCUUAAUUACUCGUAAAUAUUCAUUUUCGAUUGUUCUUAUAUAAAAUACGUUUGUUCUCUUUCGAAAUUACUCAUUUUUUGUUUAAUUAAUUGUAUUAGUUGAAUAAAUGUAUACAAAAUAUGUGUACUGCGCAUGCCAUAAGUGUAUAAUCUAUGGCGCAUGCGUCAACUAUAAUGCCUAAACUUUCUACGCGGUUUUAAUCGUGAAAAAAAAACAAUUAUAAAUCCUGAAGGAUCAAUUAAUUGGUAUACAGUUUAAUUAAAAAAAUUAAAAACAAAAUAAAUAAAAUAAUGUGCAUUCGCGUAAAGUUAGACCAAAUACAUUUUUUCCAUCCUCCUAUAUACCUAUCGCUAUGAAGGUAUAAAAAAGAUAGGUUAAGAGUUCACAUAGGUAAUAUAAACAAAUAAGUAAAUAUGUUCAUUAUUUAUCUUUCAAGAGAUAAUGUAGGUAUACAUUAUAAUAACAUUUUGACACAGUCGAAAUUAUAUUCCUAACAUUAGUAAAAUAACAUUUUAAUAUUUUUUUUAUAGGUUAUGUAUUGAAAUUGUUGGAAAAUUAUUUCAUGUUUUAGCUGGAAAACUACAUGGAGAAUUAUAUGCAAUACAAGAUAAUGAGCUCCAUCAAAUGAAUUCGAAUGAAACCAAACUGUUUACCAUCCAAAUUCGAUUGUCGGGCAGAUAGAAAACGAAAAUUCACUCAUAGUGAACCUCGGCCUGCAUUUGUGAAACGGCAAAGACUCACUAUUAUCAAGGAAAUUGAAGAGACGACUAAAAAUGAGAUGUGUCGUAUUAUUAUACCUUUGCCAUCUUGUAGUCAAGAUGUCCAGCCACUUGAAAAUAGGUGUAGUAAUGACAAAGCUAUCCAAGUAGCUCCAGCACAGGAACACAAAGGCAAGGCAAGUGUGUAUUGCCACAUCACCCCUUAAUAUAUCUGAAGCAAGUAUAAGUAAACAAUCAGAACCAGCAAAAAAAAAACUGUUGUUCCUGAGGACAAAUUUAACAGUGAUGAGUCAAAUGCACCAGCAACAGAAGGAUCAACUGUUGACUAUGAGUUAUCUCUCUAUAUCUCCACUCCAUCAAAGACUUGUGCACUUCAGACUAUAGCUCUCAAGAAGACUAAAAAAUUGAAAAAAUGAAUGUGUUAACAACUUUAUCUAAAGUGAAAAAUAAACAAUGUUUAUAUAUUGGUCUUCCACAAGAAUUAUGUUUCAUAAUAGGCUUGAUUGAGAAACAUACAAAUGUUUCUGAACAAAAUAUUAUAUUAUGUCUGAUGAGAAUAACAUUAAAUAGAACAUUCUCUCAAUUGGCUGAUGAUUUCGAUUUAUCUGUAAGUCAAGCAAGCAAUAUAUUUUUCAACAAACUCCCAGAAAUUGCAAAUGUAAUAUCACCCCUUGUUAGACUAUAAAAAAAGUGUGUGUGUCCGCUCCGACGCACGACUGGAGUUUACUGGAUAUAAAAAAUUAAACGAAACAAUACGAGAAAUAGUUCUAUAUUACGACAACACGAUACACUACAGAUUAUUAACAAAUUAACGAGACACAAAACAAACGACUAACAAAUAUAUGAAAAUACAAUAAUGAGAGAAACGCGCGAUCAGUACGAGGCUUUGUGGCGGACUGCCGGCGCAGCAGCCCGGCGUCACCUGCGAUAACGCGGCCGCGCGUUGGCUCCUGAUUGGCGCGCGCACGCAUCACGCAAUCAGGAGCCAAUCAGGCGCAUAACGCAUUUCGUGUGACAUGCUAGUACGAUUUUGGUCCCCAUAAUUUUCAUACCCCGGGCCUAUAUAUGUAAAUCGAUUCUAAAGGAGUAAACUCCAAAAAACAAUACAAUAAAUAUAUAUGCAGGAAGGAUAAUUGAUGUCAACUUGGUGGAAAAUAGAAAGUUUUUAGAUAGUUUGCCACCUACAAAACUCUUUAAUUAAAUAAGUAAUCCUUACUUAUAAAUAGGAAGUUUUGUAAGUAUUUUCACUCUUCAUUCAAAAACUACUGAACAGAUUUUAAUAAGACUUAUGCUGGUCUUCUAUGGCUAGCAACUCAUUAUUAUUUUGAUUCUGUUUUCCACAAAAGUGCUAAAUAUGGGCUUAUAUAUAUGAAAAGGAAUAAAUAUUAAUGUUAUGUAACCUUUGUACCUGUACGUUAAGAAUAAUUUUUAAUAAAACAUAAUUUAAAUUGAAAUAUUAUUUUUAUUAAAUCACAUUCACUUUGUACACAUCAAUAUUUUGUACUCCCUAAAAGGAAAAUAGGUAUAAAGUUUUUUUUAAAUAUUUAACAUUACAUUUUUGUGUAAGAUUAGAAAAUUGUUAUUCUUCCAAAAAGAAACUACAUUAUCUAACAACUGUGCAACUUACUCGGAAUCAAAAUCAAUACCUACUAAUUAUAGUGACCUGAUUAGUUUUUUCAAAGUUGCUGGAUGCUACACAAAAGUAACAAGUUUUACUUUUAGCACAAUACAUAUGCAUUUGAACUUGUGCAUAAUAUCUUUCUUUAAUUUUUUUUUGCCUUUUUAUUUAUGGAAACAGCAUUACUCACUUGCUUGUUUGUAGAUCUAUCAAAAAAACAUAAUUUAUGUUUUUUUUAGCACAGUGGGCAAUACCCUAUUAUUCAUAUUAAUUAUAUACGGCGCGGCGAUGCGAAAAUUCAUUACUGAAUUAUUUAAGAAUGAUAGGCAUAAUAUAAUAUUUUAAUUCGCGAUCUGUUUAUAAUUUUUAAUAUAUGAUUUAAAAAUAAGUUAUCUUUAAUAUUUUUAAUUUUGUGAUUUAUGGGGUGGUCACAGUCAUUAUUAUAAAAAUAGAAAUUUUGAGGAAAUAUAAAUGUUUAAUACAAAUUAUUUUGAUAAUCGAAAUAAAUUCAUAUCAAUCCAAAUUCAUAUUUGAACUAUGAAAAUUGUAUGGUAUGUAAACAGAAAUAUAUUUUAUAAUUAUAA